rnacentral:rRNA from 1 species
AUGCUUUACACAUGCAAGUCGAACGGCAGCAUAGAGAGCUUGCUCUCUGAUGGCGAGUGGCGAACGGGUGAGUAAUAUAUCGGAACGUACCUAGUAAUGGGGAAUAACUAGCUGAAAGGUUAGCUAAUGCCGCAUACGACCUACGGGUGAAAGCAGGGGAUCUUCGGACCUUGCGUUAUUAGAGCGGCCGAUAUCUGAUUAGCUUGUUGGUGGGGUAAUGGCCUACCAAGGCGACGAUCAGUAGCUGGUCUGAGAGGACGAUCAGCCACACUGGAACUGAGACACGGUCCAGACUCCUACGGGAGGCAGCAGUGGGGAAUUUUGGACAAUGGGGGCAACCCUGAUCCAGCCAUUCCGCGUGAGUGAAGAAGGCCUUCGGGUUGUAAAGCUCUUUCGCAAGAGAAGAAAACUUGCUAUCUAAUAAAUAGUAAGCAUGACGGUAUCUUGACAAGAAGCACCGGC